rnacentral:rRNA from 1 species
UUGGUGAGGUAAUGGCUCACCAAGGCGACGACGGGUAGCCGGCCUGAGAGGGCGACCGGCCACACUGGGACUGAGACACGGCCCAGACUCCUACGGGAGGCAGCAGUGGGGAAUAUUGCACAAUGGGCGAAAGCCUGAUGCAGCGACGCCGCGUGAGGGAUGACGGCCUUCGGGUUGUAAACCUCUUUCAGCAGGGAAGAAGCGAAAGUGACGGUACCUGCAGAAGAAGCGCCGGCUAACUACGUGCCAGCAGCCGCGGUAAUACGUAGGGCGCAAGCGUUGUCCGGAAUUAUUGGGCGUAAAGAGCUCGUAGGCGGUCUGUCGCGUCGGAUGUGAAAGCCCGGGGCUUAACCCCGGGUCUGCAUUCGAUACGGGCAGACUAGAGUGUGGUAGGGGAGAUCGGAAUUCCUGGUGUAGCGGUGAAAUGCGCAGAUAUCAGGAGGAACACCGGUGGCGAAGGCGGAUCUCUGGGCCAUUACUGACGCUGAGGAGCGAAAGCGUGGGGAGCGAACAGGAUUAGAUACCCUGGUAGUCCACGCCGUAAACGGUGGGAACUAGGUGUUGGCGACAUUCCACGUCGUCGGUGCCGCAGCUAACGCAUUAAGUUCCCCGCCUGGCGAGUACGG